GAUGAACGCUGGCGGCGUGCCUAAUACAUGCAAGUCGAGCGAACAGAUGAGGAGCUUGCUCCUCUGACGUUAGCGGCGGACGGGUGAGUAACACGUGGAUAACCUACCUAUAAGACUGGGAUAACUUCGGGAAACCGGAGCUAAUACCGGAUAAUAUAUUGAACCGCAUGGUUCAAUAGUGAAAGACGGUUUUGCUGUCACUUAUAGAUGGAUCCGCGCCGCAUUAGCUAGUUGGUAAGGUAACGGCUUACCAAGGCGACGAUGCGUAGCCGACCUGAGAGGGUGAUCGGCCACACUGGAACUGAGACACGGUCCAGACUCCUACGGGAGGCAGCAGUAGGGAAUCUUCCGCAAUGGGCGAAAGCCUGACGGAGCAACGCCGCGUGAGUGAUGAAGGUCUUCGGAUCGUAAAACUCUGUUAGUAGGGAAGAACAAAUGUGUAAGUAACUAUGCACGUCUUGACGGUACCUAAACAGAAAGCCACGGCUAACUACGUG
rnacentral:rRNA from 1 species